ACCUUAAUGCAGCCGAUGGACGGUCACAAGCCCGUGAAAAUGCAGAGUGAGGG
ncrna:unclassified sequences type-P1 twister ribozyme